UAUAAAAAGGUCAGGGGCAGCUCAUGUAUAUGACUUCAUUUGGAAGCCUCUGGAGAAGCAAUGAAGGCCUAAAAAUGGAAUGGAUAUGGGCAUCUUGGAUUUUCAACAAGAAUACUCUGGCAAGAUGCAGCACAUAACUAUGCAACUGAGUGGAGGGAACAGCAAUUCUAGCUCAUUGCUAGUUGAAGGAAAUCAUGCAAACGCCAAGAGUCUGGGGCAGAUGACAAUCUCUCAUUUGUUUUUCUCCCACUAAAAUAUCUGCUUACCAUGUGAUGGUGGGAGUCACAUUUAAGAAAGUGGAGCCAUAAUAUGAAAAAAAGCCCGUAUUCCAGAUCACUGACUGGAAGAUAGUGGUCCCAUCAGUCCUUCCAAACAGAAGCACCACCUUUGGACUACUUGAGAUAAAAAUAAACUUUUACUGAG